AUGACCAAAUUGAUAGAAUGUGUA
rnacentral:miRNA from 1 species